rnacentral:miRNA from 1 species
UCACUCCCCCCCAAAGAAUACAUUUCCCGAUGAUUGUCACUUAAGGUUAGUUUGAAAUUAUUUUCCGUGAGAAUAAAUUUAUGGAAGGUGAUCCUUGAUCACCAGUGUUAUGAAGCACACUGUGCCGGGGGGUUUUGCUCAUUCCUCGCCGAGAGGGGAUUGAUUUUGGUAAGUUGUUCUCAUGGGGAAUAAUUUCAAACUAACCCUAAGGGACAAUCAUCGGGAAGUGUUUUGGGGGGAAUAG